rnacentral:lncRNA from 1 species
UGACUUGUUCUAUAUAAAUGUUUCUAACAUGCAGGUAACAUUUAUAUAUGUAUUAGUUUGAAUAAAUCAUUUUAAUAAAGUUACAUUAUAGGCAGGAAUGUUUGACUGGAAAUAUAAACGAUGUUGUACAUAAUGCAGAUAGCUUAGGCAAAAAAGAGAUUGGUGAAAUGGAGAAUGAGACUAACUAGGGU